rnacentral:piRNA from 1 species
UACAGACGAAAAGGUGACAAAACUAUC